ACAGAUGGAGAAGUUUCCAAGGGGAGAAGCCUAAAGGGUAGAGGACAGAAGUAGGAAAGUAUUGAGUGCUUUAAAAAUUCAAUGCUGUAUUUUUCUUGUGAUUGAAGGGAAUGAAUACUGUGUACCCAGACAGCAAUAAACCUUCAGCUGCAGACCACUGAAAGAAAUCUAUAGACCACCAGUGUGGGAAACCUCAGCUUUAAGCUCUAAAUGAUUCAACAUUUGUGUUAUUCUGAAGGGGAGGAUAAAGAAACUGGCCACCAAGAUGGUAAUCACUAGUGGAAAUGAAGAAGAUAAAGGCAGUCAAGAAAAGGAAAGCAAAGAAGAAACCAUCUUGGCAAUGCUUGGAAUUAUUGGGACAAUUCUGAACCUCAUUGUGAUCAUUUUUGUGUAUAUUUAUACAACGUUGUAAACUAGAAGGCAUGCAAAUAGACCAGAUAAAACGGCCAUUAAGAGUGACAACAAACAUUGCUGACUAUUGACAAGUUCUUUAAUCAGAAUUGACUCUGUAUUAUAUUAACACAUCAUAAAAGCACUGCCUGAAGGCAGUGAAGACUGAAGCACAAUUAAUUGAACAAGACUUUUUCACACAGUAAUAAGCUUAACUCUUCUUCCUGCCCUCUCCCUUUCGGUUUGGUUUUCAGUUUGGGGGAGAAUGACUGCAGUUAUAUAAGUUGUAGCUUUGAAGAAAUCCAACAGGGAUAUGUUGUUUUAAAACAAUUAAAAAAAAAAAGGAAAAGUAAAUAAAAUACAAGAAAGGAAAAAAAAAAAGAAAAAGAAAGAAUCUGUAAACUAUAUAUAAUUAGAAAUGUAUGCUGUAUACCCGCAAAGAUUGAACUCAAAGAUAGCUUCAUAGCACAGAUCACGUGUCUGUUAGGUCAAAUGGUUUUUUCUCUUGGUUUUUGCUUUUACUUACAUUGAAUCUGACAAGCUUUUUAUUUAGAAUGAACAUAUGGUGCAAUCAUGAAAAAACAAUUCUGUUGAGCAAGGUCUGCCUAAACCUGAUAAAAUGUUGGGAGAAAUACAUUACAUGGUUAUUUUUCCUUUCUCAUUUGCUUAACAUCUGUGUCUGUUCAUACCAAUGUUUAUAAAUAUAUAUUUUUAAUAAAUGUGCUAUAUUUUUAGCAUGAACCAAAUAUUUGGAGACACUUGUAUUCAUGCAGCUAAAUUUUGUUUGAUUAAGUGCCCCUUUUGACAAUGGAUGUUAUUUUCCUCAGCAAUUAUACAGCAGUCUUGUU